rnacentral:rRNA from 1 species
AGAAUCAACGCUGGCGGCGUGCCUAACACAUGCAAGUCGAACGAGAAAGGGGUAGCAAUACCCUGAGUAAAGUGGCGCACGGGUGAGUAACACGUGACUAACCUACCCUUGAGUGGGGGAUAACUGAGGGAAACCUUAGCUAAUACCGCAUAAUACCCACGGGUCAAAGGAGCAAUUCGCUCGAGGAGGGGUCGCGGCCGAUUAGUUAGUUGGCGGGGUAAUGGCCCACCAAGACGAUGAUCGGUAUCCGGCCUGAGAGGGCGCACGGACACACUGGAACUGAAACACGGUCCAGACUCCUACGGGAGGCAGCAGUGGGGAAUUUUGCGCAAUGGGGAAACCCUGACGCAGCAACGCCGCGUGGAGGAUGAAGUCCUUCGGGACGUAAACUCCUUUCGAUCGGGACGAUUAUGACGGUACCGGAAGAAGAAGCCCGGCUAACUCGUGCCAGCAGCCGC